rnacentral:rRNA from 1 species
UACGUAGGGUGCAAGCGUUGUCCGGAAUUAUUGGGCGUAAAGAGCUCUGUGAGGCGGGUUUGUUGCGUCGGCUGUGAAAUCCCGAGGCUCAAACCUCGGGGUCUGCAGUCGAUACGAGCAAACUAGAGUGUUGCAGGGGAGACUGGAAUUCCUGGUGAUAGCGGUGAAAUGCGCAGAUAUCAGGAGGAACACCGGUGGCGAAGGCGGGUCUCUGGGCAACAACAUGAC